UUUUAUACGACCGCAAAAAAAUUUUUGUGGUCGUAUAUUGGUAUGACGUUGGCGUCGUCGUCCGAAUACACAUUAGUUUUCGCACUCUAACUUUAGUUUAAGUGAAUGGAUCUCAUUGAAAUUUUACCAUAAGGUUCAAUACCACAAAAGGAAGGUGGGGAUUGAUUUUGGGGGUUAUGGUACUAACAGUUAAGGAAUUAGGGGCCAAAAGGGGCCAAAAAUAAGCAUUUUUGUAACUUCCAGACAUAACUUGUGUGUAAGUGUAUGGAUCUCUCUGACAUUGUACCACAAGGUUCCAUAUCACAAAGGGAAUGCUGGGAUUGAUUUUGGGGGUAAUUGUCUCCAAAUUUUAGGAAUUAGGGGCCAAAAAGGGGCAAAAAACAAGCAUUUUUCUAGUUUCAUGACAAUAACUUGUUUGUAAGUGUAUGGAUCUUUAUGAAAUUGUACUACAAGGUUCCAUAUCACAAAGGGAAGGCUGGGAUUGAUUUUGGGGGUUUUCCCUCAAAAUUUUAGUAAUUAGGGGCCAUAAAAGGGCAAAAAAAACAUGCAUUUUUCUAGUUUCAGGACAAUAACUUGUGUGUAAGUGUAUGGAUCUUUAUGAAAUUGUACUGCAAGGUUCCAUAUCACAAAGGGAAAGCUGGAAUUGAGUUUGGGGGUAAUUGCCCUAAACGUUUAGGAAUUUGGGGCCAAAAAGGGGCAAAAAAACAAGCAUUUUUCUAGUUUCCAGACAAUAACUUGUGUUCAAGUGUAUGAAUCUCUCUGAAAUUGUACUGCAAGGUACCAUACCACAAAGGGAAAGCUGGGAUUGAGUUUGGGGGCGAUGAAUCAUAAGGGGGUUCAAAAAAUUGGGGGGGGGGAUUUUUUUUUUCCUUUUUUUUUCUUUAACAUUUUCCAUUUUAAAUUGGUUAUUUCUGAUUUAUAUAUAAAAGCAAAUAAUAAUGAUAUGGUUUGAAUAGGCAUACAUGUGAACCUCCCGACGGGAGUACAAUAAUCCCGUUUUCAGGGGUCUCCUCCCCCCUCCCGUUGAAAAAAUCCCGUGUAUGAAAUUUUUCAUGAAUGAAAAAUUUCUGCCCAACAUAACAUCUCAGGCAUCUGGUGUAACUGACAUUACCUGAAGUUAUAUUUUACCUGUAAAUCAAUUAACAUGCAUAAUUAUAUGGCUUCACUUGUCAGCUUGGGUGUCAAACAUACUGGUAAGCAACGAUUUUUACCUCAGGCUAACUGCCGUUGUGUAACAAAAACUGUGUAUUUAUUGGGUUACUUCCCUUGAUUUAUCCUGUUUUAAGUUACUUUCCUUUUAAUAAUGAAAAUUUUUAAAAGAAUAUAAAUAAAAUAUAAAUUGAACAAAUAAUCAUAAAAGGAUGGUUAUUAAAUGAUUUUAAAUGUCUUAGGACAAAUAAAAAAAUAAUAAUUUGAAAAUUAUUUGAGGAUUCUAUACUUCCUUUUAAGGCUUAAAUUGAAAUUUAUAUAAUAACUAUGAGUAUGACCCUAACUUUACAGAUAGAAUGAAUUUCUGAGUUUGCAAAUAAAAACUAUUUGCAAGAGAAAAAAAAAAAAAUAAAAA